AGAGAGAGAGAGCAGGAAGAACCAGAUGAGAGAGUGGACAGAUGGAGAAGUCAAGUAAUUCUGUCUGUGUAACUGCUGUCGUCUACAAGGAAACAAGAACUAAACAUUCCAGAAGCAACUUGAAGGUGACAACAGAUCUGUAAAUGAAGAGAGGAUGCAGAAUGGGUUCACCUCUCCAGUUCGUUGUGUUCGGUGUUGCUGGUGCAGACGCCAACAUGCAGAAGGAGUUCAGUGAGUGCUACA